CGACGAGAACCCCUCAGCGCGGAACGGAUGAAAAUUUCCACAGGGCGGCUACAAACCAGGUGCACGCACCUGAAAUGUCAGAUACCACAAACUGACAUAACGUGAAUAUGGAAGUUUGUCAGUGACGAUUACGUGGCAAAUUGUGGUAAAGUAUCUACAGAAGAGGACUGAAAAAGAAAUCUCGCUAUUUUACCCAAAGUAUUCGGAAGGUGCUAGUUUGCCUAAAUUAUCUUAACUGAAUUUAAAACUACCUAAAAGUAAGUGUAAAACCUUAAACCUAUUAUUUGUCACUUAUCUAAUUUGAAUUCAUUAAUCUAGCUACACGAAUACAUACUACAAACUAUUUUCAUUAAAACUAGAGGAAUAGCAAGGAGAUACUGUUAAAAUUGUAAGUAAAAUCUAUUAACCUAAUGAAUUAAAAACUUAAAAAAUAAAUUAUUUACAGCUAAAGCUGUCCCAAGCAACCUCGAGUUUUUCUAAGGGACUGCUAAAAGAAAACAGUGGCAACAUCCUUUAGAAUUUUAACACCGCGAACAAUGGCGGAUAAUGGGAAUGAUUCGCAGGCUCCGCGAAAUUGUGCAUCAUGCGCUAUGCCCGACGAACACGACGACAUGGUGGCUUGUGACGCCUGUCAUGAAUGGCAUCAUUAUUCCUGUGUAAAAGUCGACGCUACUGUUCAGGAUCGGGGAUGGAAAUGUGCAUCCUGCGUACUCCCCAAAAAAGCAAUCACCAAUCAACAAGCUCUCGAAUCUGACGCUAUGGAAUCGGAUAAAAGAGGUGCAAAACCAAAAGAACCGGUAGUGCGCCCAGAGAAUCUUAUCGUUCCUUCGAGAAAAGUGGGAGCGAAAUCGUCUACCGGAGGUAGCAAGGUUAGUCGAAAGUCGAAGAAGGGCGAGCCAAGUACAACAUCGAGCGCUCGAAUUCGACUGCAACUUGAGCUGAAAGCCAUAGAGGAGCAGCAGAAGAUACGAGAAGAAGAAUUGGCAGCGGAAAAGGAGCUUCAGGACCUCGAACGAAAGCUUGAGGAAGAAUUGCGGGAGAAAGAAUUAGCGAUCGAGGCGAAAAGGAUCGACGAAGCGAAAGCCGCUUUGAAGAAGAAAAUGGAACUGGAGCGCGAAUAUAAGAAGCAGCAGAUGGCAAUCCGAAGACAGUCUGAGGAGGAGAAGGUGAAGUUGAUCCGUCAGGCUUCCGAGUACGGUAGCAGCCGCGGCAGUUCGAUCGGCACGGAUAUCGCCUCGAAGGACAUUGUGGAGGACUGGCUAACUAAGACGGCGCAGCAGACAGCGGGACUAAAGAGGGAGUCUACGUCAGCAGUCGACCCUGUCAGUGGUCAAAAGCAGGUAUUCCCCGAAGAGAAAACUAACCCUCAAGCAGUAGCUAAUAUUAGGGCCGAUAGGAGUUUAGAUCACCCCCCUCUAACAACGCCAAAUAAAGUUGUCUCCUCUACAAUCCACCCUACACAUACUCUGAUUAGCCAGGCAACUAAAGAUCAGCAAGCUCACACAAAUAUGUUCUCUAAACGACAUUUUGUUGAUGAGUUCGAACAACUGAAAGUGGGGGGAGCUUCCGGAACCCAAGCCACUGCUGGUAAUCAAAAUCCGAAGCUGUUGUUUACUGGAAUCGACUGCGCUGAACGUUUUGAAAACCGCGAUCGUUCUAGUGCUCACGAAAGAGGGGAAAGUGAACGCCGUUUAAGUGAAAUGAUUCCAGGCGGUGACUAUGAAGAUCGAAGUGUCAGAGUGCAUAUAGCGGGUUCCUCUGGUGCCCAAAAUCGAAGUACGGUUGACGAACGGGAUGUUCAAGCAACAUUCGGCGAAGCAAGAGUUGAUAACAGGGGAGAACAGCCAAUUCCGAGGAGUGUUGCGUCUGGUAGCCAAGAACACUGCAACGGAGACUACGGGGACGGACCAACAAACCGUCAACUAGCUGCUAGACAGGUGAUGGGAAAGGAUUUACCGAUCUUUUCGGGCAACCCAGAGGAAUGGCCAAUCUGGAUUAGCAACUUUCGCCGGUCGACAUCUACCUGCGGAUUUUCCGAAGACGAAAACCUAAUUCGUCUUCAACGAUGCUUGAAGGGACCAGCGCUCGAAGCUGUUCGUAGCAGACUGCUUUGUCCUGCAAGUGUUCCACACGUGAUUCGUACUUUGGAGAUGCGGUACGGCCGACCGGAGACGCUUAUCCGCUCAAUGACGGAACGAGUUCGUCGGCUUCCUUCCUUAAGGACCAACGAUUUAGAUGGGAUCAUUGAAUUCGGCCUGGUAGUGGACAACCUUGUGCAACACCUGAAGAAUGCUGGACAACAGACCCAUCUAACCAACCCAUCAUUGCUGCAUGACCUAGUUGGAAAAUUGCCAGUUGACUACAAGCUUAAAUGGUCAGCAUACAAGAGCAUGCGGCUUGACGUAGAUCUGAGCACAUUUGGACAGUUCAUGUCAACGUUGGUCGAGCUUGCAUAUGACGUAGCAGAUGAUUUCCCCUAUAUCGAGAAGGUUCCGAAACAAUCCCAGAGGAAUAAGGAGCGAAGCUUUGUGCAGACACACAUGGAAUCCGAUACGCCAUCGAGAAGCGAACUGGCUAGUAGCAGUAAUUCAGUCACCCGGAUUCCGAAGAAACCAUGCGUAGUAUGCCAUACGGAAGGACAUCGAGUAGCGGAAUGUAGUCGGUUCAAAGCGAUGGACAUUAGUGGAAGAUUAAACGUGGUUCAGCAAAGCGGUGUAUGCCGAUCGUGUUUGAAUUUCCAUGGCAGAUGGCCGUGUAAAACCGCAAAGGAAUGUGGUGUCAACGAUUGCCGGUUAAAACAUCAUCAACUGUUGCAUUCACCGUCUACAGCUAUUGACACAGCGUUCUCAACGAGUCAUCUGAGCGAAUCGAUUGCGAGUGCUGGACCUCUGUUUAGAAUUAUUCCGGUAACGUUGUAUGGAAAGGACUGCGAGGUAAACGUUUACGCUUUCGUUGAUGAAGGAUCGAAGAUUACGCUUUUGGAGGACGCCGUUGCUGAUCAACUUGGCCUUGUUGGACCCACAGAACCUUUGAAUUUACAAUGGACUGGGAAUAUAAAGCGUAGUGAACCCAAUUCAAGACGGAUCAGUGCUGAGAUUUCCGCAAAAGGAUCGUCGAGGCAGUACCAAUUGACCAACGCUCGUACUGUAGGUGGAUUACUACUACCGUCACAGACGGUAUGUUACGAAGAAAUGUGCAGCCGUUACCCACAUCUUCGAGGUCUACCAAUCCAAAGCUACGAAAAGGUUUCACCAAAACUCUUGAUUGGUCUUGACAACUUGAAGCUCACCGUACCGUUGAAAAUCCGAGAAGGAAGAUGGGUAGAGCCGAUUGCCGCUAAGAGCCGCAUCGGGUGGAGCAUCUACGGAUGCGCAACGACGCUAGCAACGACGGUCGUGUGUGGGCUUCAUUUUGGAGGAUGGACCGAUCAAGAGCAAGACCUCAAUAAGUUGGUUCGUGACUACAUCUCACUGGACAACACUGGCGUAACGCAUCCUACAACGCACUUGGAAUCCAAGGAAGACCAACGGGCGAAAAUGUUGCUGCAGACGACUACUAGAAGAAUCGGUAACGCAUUCGAGACGGGGCUACUGUGGAAAGUCGACGAGGUACGAUUCCCGAACAGUUAUGGAAUGGCGUACAAGCGGAUGUGUUCUUUGGAAAAGCGGCUGAAUAAAGAAUCAACGCUGUACGAACGUGUCAGACAGCAGGUGCGUGACUACGAAUCGAAGCAGUAUGCACACAAAGCAACUUAUCACGAGCUGUCUACUACCGGUGCUGAUCAGUGCUGGUACUUGCCGUUGGGGAUAGUGCUAAACCCGAAGAAGCCGAAUAAGCUGAGGAUGAUUUGGGACGCUGCUGCCAAAGUUGACGGUGUCUCGCUAAACUCUGCACUGCUGAAAGGGCCAGAUUACCUGACAUCUCUUCCAGCGGUUAUUGGAAAGUUCCGGCUGUAUCAGUUUGCCCUAACUGGCGACAUCAGGGAAAUGUUCCAUCGGUUUUUCAUCCGUCCACAAGAUCGACAGUUCCAGAGAUUCCUAUUCCGAGAUCACCCACAAGAAGAGCCCAUUACGUACGUCAUGGAUGUAGCCAUCUUCGGAGCUGCAUGUUCACCGAGCAGCGCUCAAUACAUAAAAAAUUUGAACGCUAAGGACUAUGAAGCAGAGUAUCCACGGGCAGUAGAAGCUAUCGUUGAUCGUCACUACGUGGACGAUUACCUGGAUAGCUUUGGAACAAUCGAAGAAGCGGUGCAGAUAGGAAGGCAGGUGAAAACUAUACAUGCUGCGGGGGGUUUCGAAAUCCGAAACUUCCUAUCCAACGAAACUACUAUAGCAGCACAGGUUGGCGAUGAAUCACCAGAAGCAGAGAAGAACAUUUGUGUGGAGAAAGAUGAGCAGAUUGAAUCCGUACUUGGCAUGAAGUGGAUUCCGAGCAGCGAUACCUUCACGUUUACAGUUUCCCUUCGAGACAAUUUACUUCAUGUUCUCGAACAAUCGCACGUGCCAACAAAACGAGAAGUUUUGCGCACUGUUAUGAGCUUCUUUGAUCCACUGGGAUUGAUUUCAUUCUUCCUGAUCCAUGGGCGCACCAUGAUGCAGGACAUAUGGGCGACCGGAAUACAGUGGGAUGACCCGAUUACCGAAGAGAUACUAAUGCAGUGGAAGCAGUGGAUUGGACUUAUCCCAAAGCUGAGCACUCUUCGUGUACCCCGUUGCUACCUCAAGGGAGCGCGAGAGAACAGCUACUCCAUGUUGCAGAUUCACACAUUUGUCGAUGCAAGCCAGUCUGCGUACUCAUGCGCAGUGUAUUUUCGAGUAGAUACACCAGAAGGUCCAGCCGUUAGCCUUGUAGCAGCGAAAUCCAAAGUUGCUCCUCUGAAGAUGCUGACGAUACCUCGGCUCGAACUCCAAGCUGCAGUUCUGGGAUCUCGUCUGCUCAACAGUGUAUUAGCAAUGCACUCCCUCUCUGUGACGAAGCGUGUCCUGUGGUCCGACUCCAAUACCGUGCUCGCCUGGAUUCGGUCAGACCAGCGGCGAUACCAUCAAUAUGUGGGAUUCAGGAUUGGAGAAAUUCUUUCAAUGACGGAUGUUAGCGAGUGGCGUAAAGUACCUACAAAAGAUAAUGUUGCAGAUGACGCCACAAAAUGGGGAACUGGACCAGACAUUCGCUCGGAAAGCCGGUGGUUCCAAGGACCACCAUUCCUCAAACAACCGGAGGCAUUCUGGCCACGUGAAGCUGAACAGAUCAAUCCAACGGAGGAGGAGCUGAUCAAGGAGCAUAUGCCGUGUAAUCUUCACAACGAAACAGAGCUGCUGGUGGUAGACGCCACUAAAUUCAGUAAAUGGGAGAAACUGCACCGCACCAUGUCAUAUGUACACCGGUUCAUCCAGAAUAUCCAACGAUCAAGGCGAAACGAAGAACAAAAGCUGGGAGCUCUGACGCAGGACGAAAUGGUUGUAGCCGAGAGAUCGUUGUGGAUACAAGCACAAGCAGAAUCCUUCGGCCCAGAAGUACAGUUGCUGAAGAAGACGAAAGGGAGAUCAGAAGAUAUCCAUGAAGUCCUACCGAAAUCGAGCCCACUGUACAAGAUGUGUCCGUUCAUUGACGACACGGGAGUGAUGCGGAAACGAAGUCGCUUGCAAAAUGCCGACUGGAUGGCGUUUCACACUAAGUAUCCGGUGAUACUUCCUCGUCAAAAUCGCAUAUCGUUUCUUCUUGUCGAUUAUUACCACCGUCGCCUACAACACCGUAACCGCGAAACGGUAGUCAAUGAGAUGCGGCAGCUCUACGAGAUUCCACGACUAAGGUCAGUGGUAUUUAAGGUCGCGGAUUCCUGUAUGACUUGCCGAAUUCGCAGAGCUGUUCCUAAUCCCCCGCCUAUGGCACCGCUACCCAAGGUUCGUGUCACGCCCUAUGUCCGACCGUUUACAUUCGUGGGUGUCGACUACUUUGGUCCAGUGUUAGUGAAAGUUGGGCGCAGCAACGUUAAGCGGUGGAUUGCACUUUUCACUUGCUUGACGAUUCGCGCGGUGCACCUUGAAGUUGUUCACAGUAUGUCCAAGGAAUCAUGCGUAAUGGCAGUGAGAAGGUUCGUGUCGCGACGUGGAGCACCGGUGGAAAUAUUCAGUGACAAUGGCACUAACUUUCUUGGCGCAAGUAAUCAACUGAAGCGAGAAGCUGAAGAGCUGGUUCAUCACCUAGCGUCUACAUUUACGAACACCACGACCCGUUGGUCGUUCAACCCGCCUGGAGCUCCUCACAUGGGAGGAGCUUGGGAAAGAAUGGUUCGAUCGGUAAAGGUCUCAAUCGAAGGUAUACUGGAGAAUCAGAGACGACCGGACGAUGAGAUUUUGGAAACAGUGGUGAUCGAGGCAGAGGCUAUGAUUAAUUCGCGGCCGUUGACCUACAUACCGCUCGAGUCUGCUGAACAGGAAUCCCUAACUCCGAAUCACUUCUUACUGGGAAGCUCUAGCGGAGUGAAACAAAAGCCAGUGCUACCUACAGAAUAUCACGCUACGCUAAGAAACGGUUGGAAACUCGCCCAGUACCUGUCGGAUGGGAUUUGGAGGAGAUGGAUCAGGGAGUAUUUGCCAGUGAUAUCCAGACGGUCGAAGUGGUUCGAAGAAGUGAAAGAGGUAGCUGAAGGAGAUCUAGUACUGAUCGUCGAUGGAGCGGUACGGAAUCAGUGGAUAAGGGGUAUAAUAGAGAAAGUGGUACAAGGCAGAGAUGGUCGAGUGCGGCAAGCAUGGGUGCGAACAGCGAAUGGUUUAUUACGGAGACCAGCAGUGAAGUUGGCGUUACUCGACGUCGUAGAUGGAGGUAAACCGGAAGCUGACAACGACCAGGAUAGUUUACGGGUGGGGGGAUGUGACGACGAGAACCCCUCAGCGCGGAACGGAUGAAAAUUUCCACAGGGCGGCUACAAACCAGGUGCACGCACCUGAAAUGUCAGAUACCACAAACUGACAUAACGUGAAUAUGGAAGUUUGUCAGUGACGAUUACGUGGCAAAUUGUGGUAAAGUAUCUACAGAAGAGGACUGAAAAAGAAAUCUCGCUAUUUUACCCAAAGUAUUCGGAAGGUGCUAGUUUGCCUAAAUUAUCUUAACUGAAUUUAAAACUACCUAAAACUACACGAAUACAUACUACAAACUAUUUUCAUUAAAACUAGAGGAAUAGCAAGGAGAUACUGUUAAAAUUGUAAGUAAAAUCUAUUAACCUAAUGAAUUAAAAACUUAAAAAAUAAAUUAUUUACAGCUAAAGCUGUCCCAAGCAACCUCGAGUUUUUCUAAGGGACUGCUAAAAGAAAACAGUGGCAACAAUC